UACGGAGGGUGCAAGCGUUGUCCGGAAUCACUGGGUGUAAAGGGUGUGUAGGCGGGAUAGCAAGUCAGAGGUGAAAUCCUGCAGCUCAACUGUAGAAUUGCCUCUGAUACUGUUAUUCUUGAGUAUCGGAGAGGUCGCUGGAAUUCGUGGUGUAGCGGUGAAAUGCGUAGAUAUCACGAGGAACACCAGAGGCGUAGGCGGGCGACUGGACGAUUACUGACGCUGAGGCACGAAAGCGUGGGGAGCAAACAGG
rnacentral:rRNA from 1 species